rnacentral:pre_miRNA from 1 species
GCUUUGGUGGGGAGGGUUCCUGGCACCGUGAUUUGGUGCACAAACAUAAACAAAAAUCACAUUGCCAGGGAUUUCCACCCCUUCACAG